rnacentral:rRNA from 1 species
UACGUAGGGUGCAAGCGUUGUCCGAAAUUAUUGGGCGUAAAGAGCUCGUAGGCGGUCUGUCGCGUCUGCUGUGAAAAUCCAGGGCUCAACCCUGGACCUGCAGUGGGUACGGGCAGACUAGAGUGCGGUAGGGGAGAUCGGAAUUCCUGGUGUAGCGGUGAAAUGCGCAGAUAUCAGGAGGAACACCGGUGGCGAAGGCGGAUCUCUGGGCCGUAACUGACGCUGAGGAGCGAAAGCAUGGGGAGCGAACAGG